ACACAGGUGCUGCAUGGCUGUCGUCAGCUCGUGUCGUGAGAUGUUGGGUUAAGUCCCGCAACGAGCGCAACCCUUGCCAUUAGUUGCUACGAAAGGGCACUCUAAUGGGACUGCCGGUGACAAACCGGAGGAAGGUGGGGAUGACGUCAAGUCCUCAUGGCCCUUAUAGGUGGGGCUACACACGUCAUACAAUGGCUGGUACAGAGGGUUGCCAACCCGCGAGGGGGAGCUAAUCCCAUAAAGCCAGUCGUAGUCCGGAUCGCAGUCUGCAACUCGACUGCGUGAAGUCGGAAUCGCUAGUAAUCGCGGAUCAGAAUGUCGCGGUGAAUACGUUCCCGGGUCUUGUACACACCGCCCGUCACACCAUGGGAGCGGGUUCUGCCAGAAGUAGGUAGCCUAACCGUAAGGAGGGCGCUUACCACGGCAGGGUUCGUGACUGGGGUGAAGUCGUAACAAGGUAGCCGUAUCGGAAGGUGCGGCUGGAUCACCUCCUUU
rnacentral:rRNA from 1 species